CGAACGGGUGAGUAACACGUGAGCAACCUGCCCUAGGCUUUGGGAUAACCCUCGGAAACGGGGGCUAAUACCGAAUACGACCUGGCCUCGCAUGAGGCUUGGUGGAAAGUUUUUCGGCCUGGGAUGGGCUCGCGGCCUAUCAGCUUGUUGGUGGGGUGAUGGCCUACCAAGGCGACGACGGGUAGCCGGCCUGAGAGGGCGACCGGCCACACUGGGACUGAGACACGGCCCAGACUCCUACGGGAGGCAGCAGUGGGGAAUAUUGCACAAUGGGCGGAAGCCUGAUGCAGCGACGCCGCGUGAGGGAUGACGGCCUUCGGGUUGUAAACCUCUUUCAGCAGGGACGAAGCGUAAGUGACGGUACCUGCAGAAGAAGCGCCGGCCAACUACGUGCCAGCAGCCGCGGUAAGACGUAGGGCGCGAGCGUUGUCCGGAUUUAUUGGGCGUAAAGAGCUCGUAGGCGGCUUGUCACGUCGACCGUGAAAACUUGGGGCUCAACCCCAAGCCUGCGGUCGAUACGGGCAGGCUAGAGUUCGGUAGGGGAGACUGGAAUUCCUGGUGUAGCGGUGAAAUGCGCAGAUAUCAGGAGGAACACCGGUGGCGAAGGCGGGUCUCUGGGCCGAUACUGACGCUGAGGAGCG
rnacentral:rRNA from 1 species